GACGUAGGGGGCGAGCGUUGUUCGGAUUUACUGGGCGUAAAGCGCGCGUAGGCGGCCAGAUAAGUUGGGUGUGAAAGCCCUCGGCUCAACCGAGGUUCCGCAUCCGAUACUGUUUGGCUUGAGUCUAGGAGAGGAGAGCGGAAUUCCCAGUGUAGCGGUGAAAUGCGUAGAUAUUGGGAGGAACACCCGUGGCGAAGGCGGCUCUCUAAACUAGUACUGACGCUAAAACGCGAAAGCUAAAAAAACGAACGAG
rnacentral:rRNA from 1 species